rnacentral:rRNA from 1 species
UACGGAGGGGGCUAGCGUUGUUCGGAAUUACUGGGCGUAAAGCGCGCGUAGGCGGACCUGCAAGUCGGGGGUGAAAGCCCGAGGCUCAACCUCGGAACUGCCUUCGAUACUGCGGGUCUCGAGUCCGGGAGAGGUGAGUGGAAUUCCUAGUGUAGAGGUGAAAUUCGUAGAUAUUAGGAAGAACACCAGUGGCGAAGGCGGCUCACUGGGCCGGUACUGACGCUGAGGCGCGAAAGCGUGGGUAGCAAACGGG